UACGUAGGGUGCAAGCGUUAAUCGGAAUUACUGGGCGUAAAGCGUGCGCAGGCGGUGAUGUAAGUCAGAUGUGAAAUCCCCGGGCUCAACCUGGGAACUGCAUUUGUGACUGCAUCGCUGGAGUGCGGCAGAGGGGGAUGGAAUUCCGCGUGUAGCAGUGAAAUGCGUAGAUAUGCGGAGGAACACCGAUGGCGAAGGCAAUCCCCUGGGCCUGCACUGACGCUCAUGCGCGAAAGCGUGGGGAGCGAUCCGG
rnacentral:rRNA from 1 species